CCUACGGGGGGCUUCAGUGGGGAAUAUUGGACAAUGGGGGGAACCCUGAUCCAGCCAUGCCGCGUGUGUGAAGAAGGCCCUCGGGUUGUAAAGCACUUUCAGUGAGGAAGAACGCCUGGUGGUUAAUACCCAUCAGGAAAGACAUCACUCACAGAAGAAGCACCGGCUAACUCCGUGCCAGCAGCCGCGGUAAUACGGAGGGUGCGAGCGUUAAUCGGAAUUACUGGGCGUAAAGCGCGCGUAGGUGGCUUGAUAAGCCGGUUGUGAAAGCCCCGGGCUCAACCUGGGAACGGCAUCCGGAACUGUCAAGCUAGAGUGCAGGAGAGGAAGGUAGAAUUCCCGGUGUAGCGGUGAAAUGCGUAGAGAUCGGGAGGAAUACCAGUGGCGAAGGCGGCCUUCUGGACUGACACUGACACUGAGGUGCGAAAGCGUGGGUAGCAAACAGGAUUAGAUACCCCAGUAGUC
rnacentral:rRNA from 1 species